GACGAACGCUGGCGGCGUGCUUAACACAUGCAAGUCGAACGGAAAGGCCUCUUUCGGGGGGUACUCGAGUGGCGAACGGGUGAGUAACACGUGAGUAACCUGCCCUUGACUUUGGGAUAACUUCAGGAAACUGGGGCUAAUCCCGGAUCGGAGCUCCUGCGGCAUGGGGGGGGUUGGAAAGUUUCGGCGGUUGGGGAUGGAUUCGCGGCUUAUCAGCUUGUUGGGGGUGUAGUGGCUUACCAGCGCUUUGACGGGAAGCCGGACAGAGGAGGUGAACGGCCACAUUGGGACUGAGGGAAGGCCCAGGCGCGUACUGGUGGCAGCAGGGGGGAAGAUUGAACCAUGGGUGCAAGGCUGGUGCAGCAACGCUGCGGGCGGGAUGACGGCCUUCGGGGUGUAAACCGCUUGCGCUCAUGACGAAGCUUUGUGUGACGGUAGUGGGUAAAGAAGCACCGGCUAACUACGUG
rnacentral:rRNA from 1 species